rnacentral:rRNA from 1 species
AGAGUUUGAUCAUGGCUCAGAACGAACGCUGGCGGCAUGCCUAACACAUGCAAGUCGAACGUGAUCCAGGCUUCGGCCUGGUGAAAGUGGCAGACGGGUGAGCAACGCGUGGGAACCUGCCCUGUGGUAGGGAAUAACCGUGGGAAACUGCGGCUAAUACCCUAUGAGUCCUUCGGGAGAAAGAUUUAUCGCCAUAGGAGGGGCCCGCGUCGGAUUAGGUAGUUGGUGGGGUAACGGCCUACCAAGCCUUCGAUCCGUAGCUGGUCUGAGAGGAUGAUCAGCCACACUGGGACUGAGAUACGGCCCAGACUCCUACGGGAGGCAGCAGUGGGGAAUAUUGGACAAUGGGGGCAACCCUGAUCCAGCAAUGCCGCGUGGAUGAUGAAGGCCUUCGGGUUGUAAAGUCCUUUCGGCGGGGAAGAUGAUGACGGUACCCGCAGAAGAAGCCCCGGCUAACUUCGUGCCAGCAGCCGCGGUAAUACGAAGGGGGCUAGCGUUGUUCGGAAUUACUGGGCGUAAAGGGCGCGUAGGCUGUGCUGUAAGUCAGGCGUGAAAGCCCCGGGCUCAACCUGGGAAUUGCGCUUGAUACUGCGGCGCUGGAAGGUGGGAGAGGAUGGCGGAAUUCCCAGUGUAGAGGUGAAAUUCGUAGAUAUUGGGAAGAACACCGGUGGCGAAGGCGGCCAUCUGGCCCACAAUUGACGCUGAGGCGCGAAAGCGUGGGGAGCAAACAGGAUUAGAUACCCUAGUAGUCC